rnacentral:rRNA from 1 species
UACGUAGGGAGCAAGCGUUGUCCGGAAUCAUUGGGCGUAAAGGGCGCGUAGGCGGCCCGCUAAGUCGAACGUGAAAUCCCCGAGCUCAACUCGGGAACUGCGUCCGAUACUGGCGGGCUUGAAUCCGGGAGAGGGAUGCGGAAUUCCUGGUGUAGCGGUGGAAUGCGCAGAUAUCAGGAGGAACACCUAUGCGAAGGCAGCUUGCUGGGACGUACUGACGCUAAGGCGCGAAAGCGUGGGGAGCGAACAGG